rnacentral:rRNA from 1 species
AGGUUUGACAUACAAGUGGUAGAGAAGGAAACUGGAUCGACCCUUCGGGGAGCUUGUACAGGUGCUGCAUGGCUGUCGUCAGCUCGUGUCGUGAGAUGUUCGGUUAAGUCCGCUAACGAGCGCAACCCUCGCUGUGUGUUACAAGUGUCACACGGAACUGCCGGUCAUAAACCGGAGGAAGGUGGGGAUGACGUCAAGUCAGCAUGGCCUUUAUAUCCUGGGCUACACACACGCUACAAUGGGAAGGGACAAUAGGUUGCGAAGCCGCGAGGCGGAGCCAAUCCAGCAAAACUUCCCUCAGUUCAGAUUGCAGGCUGCAACUCGCCUGCAUGAAGUUGGAGUUGCUAGUAAACGCAGGUCAGCCAUACUGCGUUGAAUACGUUCCCGGGGCUU